UCUACUCAAGCAGAUAGAAAAACCUGAAUAAAAGAAACUGUUUCUUAUAUAUCAUGUAUAUCAGAGGUUUGGGUAUAAUAGAUACAUGAAAGCAUUUUUAAUGAAAAGUAAUGACAAAUACAUCCAAACAAAAUACCUUCAUGAGAUAGUGAAUAAUAAAUUAAAGAUAACGAUAAUCAUCCUUAAAGUAUGAGGGUUGAAAUUCAUUGGUCUUUAAGACCAUUUCCAUGUGCCCAUAUAAUCUCAGUAGGAGUAUAUUUAACUUUCAAAACUAAUUCUAAGUAGCAUACCAUAACACUUAAAUAGAGUUCACAAAAAGGAGUACUCUCUAAAUUUAUAUGGAAAGUAAUGCUAGAACACCUUAGGAUUUAACACUUACUAGAAGUCAGAUUUAGCUUUAUUAUGUGUAAAUGAACAACAAAAAAAUCUCCUCAAAAACAACAACAAUCCCCCCCCCCCCCCACAUCUAGCAUUUGGCUUACGGACUCAUUCAUUCCUUUAUUAUUAUUAUUAUUAUUAUUUUUUGUUCAUCUAAAAAAAUACUUGUUGAACAUUGACUAUAUGAAAGCCAGUGAACUUGGAACUAGGGAUAUGAUGACAAACUGUUUCCUGGGCCAUACUGAAUCUGGGAAAAAUUAAAGUAUUAACGUUUCUAACAUGGAGGGAAAAUAUAUUUGUAUUACAGAGAAAGACAAGAGAAUAUGGACUUAUUUGGGAAGAUGGAUGACAUAUUAUACAAUUUUAUGAAUUCCUCAAAAAGGUUAAACAUCCACUAUGUGCCAUGGACUAUGUUAAGUGGGACCAUUAAAGCAGAGACAAUUUGUCCCCAGUAAGGAGCACAGUACUUGACACAUGGAGUUGGCACAUGUGUUUAAAAGACCCUUAGAAAGCACUCGGGCAUGAAGAAUGGAGUGGCAUACUAUGAACCAGCAGUAAUAAUUGGUGUCCAGAUGGAUAUGUGAAUCUGCAAAAAAAAAGUCAAUAGUGAUUGAUAUUCAUUAUUUUAGCUCUGUAAAGGCAAAAAUUUUCAGUUAAUUGUUGUGGCAUUUAAAACUAU
rnacentral:lncRNA from 1 species